CUAAGCCAUGGGAGUCGUGGGCCCCCGGGUCACGCGGGGGCCCGGCGGACGGCUGGGUAACACGUGGCCAACCUACCCUCGGGACAGGGAUAACCCCGGGAAACUGGGGCCAAUCCCCGAUAGGCGAGGGGGCCUGGAACGGGUCCCUCGCCGAAAGGGUGCCGCGGGCAUCCCCCGCGGCGCCGCCCGAGGAUGGGGCUGCGGCCCAUCAGGUAGUUGGCGGGGUAAUGGCCCGCCAAGCCGAUAACGGGUAGGGGCCGUGAGAGCGGGAGCCCCCAGAUGGGCACUGAGACAAGGGCCCAGGCCCUACGGGGUGCACCAGGCGCGAAACCUCCGCAAUGCGGGCAACCGUGACGGGGUCACCCCGAGUGCCACCCUUGAGGUGGCUUUUCCCCGCUGUAGGAAGGCGGGGGAAUAAGCGGGGGGCAAGACUGGUGUCAGCCGCCGCGGUAAUACCAGCCCCGCGAGCGGUCGGGAUGUUUACUGGGCCUAAAGCGCCCGUAGCCGGCCCGGUAAGUCUCUGCCUAAAGCCCCGGGCUCAACCCGGGGAGUGGCGGAGAUACUGCCGGGCUAGGGGGCGGGAGAGGCCGAGGGUACUCCCGGGGUAGGGGCGAAAUCCUAUAAUCCCGGGAGGACCACCAGUGGCGAAGGCGCUCGGCUGGAACGCGCCCGACGGUGAGGGGCGAAAGCCGGGGGAGCAAACCGGAUUAGAUACCCGGGUAGUCCCGGCUGUAAACGAUGCGGGCUAGGUGUUGGGCGGGCUUUGAGCCCGCCCAGUGCUGCAGGGAAGCCGUUAAGCCCGCCGCCUGGGGAGUACGGCCGCAAGGCUGAAACUUAAAGGAAUUGGCGGGGAGCACCACAAGGGUG
rnacentral:rRNA from 1 species